UUACGAACAAAUUUCAGAACAAAAGGUUAAUCGAGCGUGCUGUGGGCGAGAACUAGACAAGCAUGAAGACUUUUGUUGUAUUCUGCUUUUUGAUGGCUUUCGUGAUGGCUUCCCAAGCACAGAAAAAAGAAGCUACAGAGAUGGACGAAAAUGAACUGGCCAUGGCUGCAGAGAUUAUGGAUUUUGAAGCUGAAAAACAGGCUGCAGACACACCUAACGUGGUAAACGCGGAUUUUGAUUCGAUGAAGAAGUAAAGAUUGCAGACAGCAAGUGGAACCACUUCAAUUCUAGAUGCUGAAAAAAGAUUAUAUUAAACAAAAAAUGUAUUAAAAAAGGAAUUGUAUAUUUUGCGCAUAAACACUGAUUUGUGAUGCCCUUUACAGAGAUGUUGAAAUAAACUGGAGAACGAUUCA